rnacentral:rRNA from 1 species
CACCCUUUGUCUUUCUGCGUACUUCUUGUUUCCUUGGUGGGUUCGCCCACCACUAGGACAAACAUAAACCUUUUGUAAUUGCAAUCAGCGUCAGUAACAAAUUAAUAAUUACAACUUUCAACAACGGAUCUCUUGGUUCUGGCAUCGAUGAAGAACGCAGCGAAAUGCGAUAAGUAGUGUGAAUUGCAGAAUUCAGUGAAUCAUCGAAUCUUUGAACGCACAUUGCGCCCUUUGGUAUUCCAAAGGGCAUGCCUGUUCGAGCGUCAUUUGUACCCUCAAGCUUUGCUUGGUGUUGGGCGUCUUGUCUCUAGCUUUGCUGGAGACUCGCCUUAAAGUAAUUGGCAGCCGGCCUACUGGUUUCGGAGCGCAGCACAAGUCGCACUCUCUAUCAGCAAAGGUCUAGCAUCCAUUAAGCCUUUUUUUCAACUUUUGACCUCGGAUCAGGUAGGGAUACCCGCUGAACUUAAGCAUAUCAAAAGCCGGGAGGAAA